UUCUUUGACGUGACGAUUGGUUUUUUCGAGUGCCGGAACGCGGUUUUGUGUCGAAGGACUUUGGGGACGGUGUCCGGGUCCCGGGACGCCGGGGCUCCGUUUUGAGAGACGCAGCUUGUGGCCCAGCGGUGGCUGUGCGGUCCCGGAAACUUGAAGCGCGAAGAUUGGCUCGCCAGACUUGGCCCUUCCUGCUCAACCACUGAGCCCUGGAUGAGGGGGACACCUGACAUUAACAGCCAGUCAUGGGCUGAAGAGCAUGCAUGAAAUGACCCACGAGUUUCCGUAUUUGCCUCACUGUAAGAAUCAUCUGGUAAAACGAAUAAAAACUGAGACUCCAGA